AGGAUGGGAGGAAGUUCUCUUUGAUGCCUCAUCUGUACUCAUCGUGUUCUCAAACCACCUACAUAAAAGCAACCAAGACUGCGCCAAUCCCGAAGUAUAACUGCCUAACCAGGAAAACAGAAAGGAAACCUUAUGAGGUAAGCUAUGAAACUGACUGCCCAAAAAUCAAAUUCACAAUGGUUUCCUGACUUCAGUCACCCAAGGAAUCAAGGAUUACUUCACCUUUAAAGCAUGAUAUAAAAAGAAAGAAAGCAUUGUUUUCCUUUCCCCCACUCCUCAUGUUCUCAAACAUUUUCGUGCAAAAAGAAAGACAAAAGGAAGAAACCCCCUAAAACAAAAGGACAUUUUCCAUCAGCACACAACCACAACCUACUCUAGUCGUCAUAACCAACCUGGUGUACAUUUUGGUUAUAGCCAUAAAACUGCACAUUCAAUAGAACACUCGUUUUCAUAAUUCUACAAGCUAUUGAAACAGCUUAUCACAUCACGCAAACCUGUCAUGCAUAAGUUGAUACAUUUGGCUAUAUUAGUCAGUGUUUUUGAAAGCGCAAAAAAGCGACAAGGUUUUUAGGGCUUGAAACAAAAAGCGAGAAGUGAAGCACAUGCUUCUGUAACAUGAAGGGAACAAUUUAAUUAAAAAACAAAAAGUACCAUACAUAUAUGAAUUUAGUACUAUAAUAAUCAAAUUUUAAUCAAACUAACUAAUUUCAACAUUAAAAUAUAAAAUAGUGCCAAUAUUAACCCAACUUUCAAAGUUGAGAUCCAAACUAUCGAUCUAUUUGCGUUGGGAUCACUUUGCACAUUAUUGUUUGAAGCACGCAAUAUUCAAAGCACAUUGCCUAGCCCAUGAACUGGUGACCCCUCGCUCCACUCGGCUUCAUCGCUUUAAGAGACGAAGCAAUGACUUAUAACUCUGCUAUUAAUAUCUCUCCAAAUAUGGAGCAUUGCUUCUUCAUCUCUUUUAAGGAAUAACAGUUAGGUUAAACCCCAGCUAAGUAAGGUUCUUUUAAUUAAUCAUUUUCAAAUUUUUAAAAAAUUGAUUCUUAGUACGUAAAGUCAAAUUAGUACCACCGCAAUUUCAAGCCAUUAUAACAAGGGAAGUAAACUAACAGGAAAUAAAAACAAGAUUAUGGUCCGAUUCACUAAAAUUUGUGCUUUACCAUUAAAAUUAAAUGCAAAAAGGGGAUAAGGGUUUUUGCUAACUAGACACAUAAAAAUGGAUUAUAGAGACAAAGCUCGAUAGAGAAAAAACAUACCUAAUUCUGCUUGAGAGGUGAAUAUGAGCAGCUAAUUAGCGGCAGGGCUGAGGAGUUUUAGCGACCUGGUAGAGAAAAUCUCGCAGAAAUUGAAGCUAAAUGCAAUGGGAAUUUUGGGUCGAGCUUGCGUUCAUUUGUUUUGGUGAAAAUAGUUCGGAAGGAC
rnacentral:lncRNA from 1 species